AUUGAACGCUGGCGGCAGGCCUAACACAUGCAAGUCGAGCGAGCGGCGGACGGGUGAGUAAUGUCUGGGGAUCUGCCUGAUAGAGGGGGAUAACUACUGGAAACGGUGGCUAAUACCGCAUACUAUCAGAUGUGCCCAGAUGGGAUUAGCUAGUAGGUGGGGUAAAGGCUCACCUAGGCGACGAUCCCUAGCUGGUCUGAUAGGAUGAUCAGCCACACUGGAACUGAGACACGGUCCAGAGUCCUACGGGAGGCAGCAGGGGGGAAUAUUGCACAAUGGGCGCAAGCCUGAUGCAGCCAUGCCGCGUGUGUGAAGAAGGCCUUCGGGUUGUAAAGCACUUUCAGCGGGGAGGCGUUACUCGCAGAAGAAGCACCGGCUAACUCCGUGCCAGCAGCCGCGGUAAUAC
rnacentral:rRNA from 1 species